rnacentral:rRNA from 1 species
GACGAACGCUGGCGGCGUGCCUAAUACAUGCAAGUCGAACGCACUCUCGUUUAGAUUGACGGAGUUUGCCCCUGAUUGAUAAACAUUUGAGUGAGUGGCGGACGGGUGAGUAACACGUGGGUAACCUGCCCUAAAGUGGGGGAUAACAUUUGGAAACAGAUGCUAAUACCGCAUAAAACCUAACACCGCAUGGUGUAGGGUUGAAAGAUGGUUUCGGCUAUCACUUUAGGAUGGACCCGCGGUGCAUUAGUUAGUUGGUGAGGUAAAGGCUCACCAAGACCGUGAUGCAUAGCCGACCUGAGAGGGUAAUCGGCCACACUGGGACUGAGACACGGCCCAGACUCCUACGGGAGGCAGCAGUAGGGAAUCUUCCACAAUGGACGAAAGUCUGAUGGAGCAACGCCGCGUGAGUGAAGAAGGUUUUCGGAUCGUAAAACUCUGUUGUUGGAGAAGAAUGUAUCUGAUAGUAACUGAUCAGGUAGUGACGGUAUCCAACCAGAAAGCCACGGCUAACUACGUG